rnacentral:misc_RNA from 1 species
AGCAGCCGCGGUAAUUCCAGCUCCAAUAGCGUAUAUUAAAGUUGCUGCAGUUAAAAAGCUCGUAGUUGAAUUUCGGGACCAAUAUGUCGGUCGUGCCUCGGUACGUACUGGUUUAUUGGUUUCUCCCUUCUGACGAACCAUGAUGUCAUUUAUUUGGUGUCGUGGGGAAUCAGGACUGUUACUUUGAAAAAAUUAGAGUGUUUAAAGCAGGCUCACGCUUGAAUACAUUAGCAUGGAAUAAUGAAAUAGGACGUUUGAUUCUAUUUUGUUGGUUUCUAGGAUUGACGUAAUGAUUAAUAGGGAUAGUUGGGGGCAUUAGUAUUCAAUUGUCAGAGGUGAAAUUCUUGGAUUUAUUGAAGACUAACUACUGCGAAAGCAUUUGCCAAGGAUGUUUUCAUUAAUCAAGAACGAAAGUUAGGGGAUCGAAGACGAUCAGAUACCGUCGUAGUCUUAACCAUAAACUAUGCCGACUAGGGAUCGGAUGAUGUUAAUUAUGACUCAUUCGGCGCCUUACG